AUGCAGGGGCUAAUAAUAGUACUCAUCAACCAAAAAUACCGGCGUCGUCAACCAUGCUUUGAACUUUUGGAGAUCAAGCUGUACGGUUGUACCAUGAAGAUUUUUGGUAAAUACCUCAACUCUCAUGAGAUGAUUAGCUUAGAAAAUCGAGAUAUUUUCUCAUUAAUUUCAGCUCUUCUGAUGAGGCACAUAGUUUUGUGCUUGGGGUGCUCAGAAAGAAUAGGAUGUUUUCUUUUUUAUACAUCUCGUGGCUUAUACUUGUGUCAGAACAGAAAGGAAAAAAGAAUACUUGGUCUUUACAUGGAAACGACGCUCCUAUGGUUUUGUGAUCUCAAAUUUUGCAGAAUUUCUUCUAAUGUUUUAUUUACUCUUUUACUGGCUUCCCCGUCUUUAUUUGUGACGCUUAGUUGCUCACCCUGGCAUGCUCUGUUACCCAAGAUGCAGUUUAAGGAUUCAAGUGGCGAUUGCAACCCAAAACAUUGCAAAGAAUCUGCUACCAGAGGCUUCAUUAUGCACACCUUUUCUUUUUACAAAAUGGAGUCUGAUCUGCUGUCAUCACAUCACCAGGUAUGCCUACAGCACCAAUGUUUGUACAGUGACAUUUAUUCACACACAAAUGAAGAUAUUCUAAGGUUAGAACGAACAUCACCUUCAACACCUGGUGUGUAUCGUAGUUGGGUGACAGCAGAUUGCGCAGUGGGCCUCUCGGCGGUGUGA
rnacentral:rRNA from 1 species